CAAAAGACUGAGGAAGUCCAUGCACACACUGCGCUGAGCAAUGCCAAGAGUGUUCCACUAUUUCACUCAUGAGUGCACAUUGUCCAGUUUUAUUGCAAAUCCUGUUUAAACACAUCAUUCUCAAAUGUACAUGAGUGAAAACCCUUCAAAUUGCCACAGCCGCG
rnacentral:ribozyme from 15 species